rnacentral:rRNA from 1 species
ACGAUGCUCUACGAUUGAUGGCUCAGUGAGGCCUUCGGACUGGCUCGAGGAGGUUGGCAACGACCACCUCAAGCCGGAAAGUUCGUCAAACUCGGUCAUUUAGAGGAAGUAAAAGUCGUAACAAGGUCUCCGUAGGUGAACCUGCGGAGGGAUCAUUACACAAUAUGAAAGCGGGCUGGAAUCCUUUGGGGUUACAGCCUUGCUGAAUUAUUCACCCGUGUCUUUUGCGUACUUCUUGUUUCCUUGGUGGGUUCGCCCACCAUAGGACAAACCAUUAAACCUUUUGUAAUUGCAAUCAGCGUCAGUAAAAAAAAUUAAUAAUUACAACUUUUAACAACGGAUCUCUUGGUUCUGGCAUCGAUGAAGAACGCAGCGAAAUGCGAUAAGUAGUGUGAAUUGCAGAAUUCAGUGAAUCAUCGAAUCUUUGAACGCACAUUGCGCCCUUUGGUAUUCCAAAGGGCAUGCCUGUUCGAGCGUCAUUUGUACCCUCAAGCUUUGCUUGGUGUUGGGCGUCUUGUCUCCAGUUCGCUGGAGACUCGCCUUAAAGUAAUUGGCAGCCGGCCUACUGGUUUCGGAGCGCAGCACAAGUCGCGCUCUCUUCCAGCGAAGGUCAGCAUCCACAAAGCCUUUUUUCAACUUUUGACCUCGGAUCAGGUAGGGAUACCCGCUGAACUUAAGCAUAUCAAUAAGCGGAGGAAAAGAAACCAACAGGGAUUGCCCUAGUAACGGCGAGUGAAGCGGCAACAGCUCAAAUUUGAAAUCUGGCUCUUUUAGAGUCCGAGUUGUAAUUUGCAGAGGGCGCUUUGGCUUUGGCAGCGGUCCAGUUCCUUGGAACAGGACGUCACAGAGGUGAGAAUCCCGUACGUGGUCGCUGGCUAUUGCCGUGUAAGCCCUUCGACGAGUCAGUGUUUUGGUGGAGGUGACGCA